CAUACCUCCCUUUCACUAAUCCAGGUAACAGUGACAUAUUCUGUCUUUGAAGGGCUGCAUUAGAAAACAGAGAAUUCAUGUUUGCAGCAGUCUUCUCCCGUAUCUGUAUAGUGUUCUGGAUUCUCGGACUCUGGCUUCUCAACCAAGUGUAUCCUAUUUUUACGGCUCUAUCCUUUUUUUUUUUUUUAACGUCUUUAUUCUUAUAUUUAUUUUCCCUCUUUAAUGCUAUUUUGUGGAGAAAAAGCACAAUUGUUCAGACUAACAUCUUAAUCUGUCAUGCCUUUUAAAUUACGAAGGCUUGUGCCCCCCACUCGCCCCCCGCCCAGUUGCUCGACCGGCAACAGACAGACUCCGGACAUCCUCCAGCUAUUCCGGAGGGUCUCAAAGUAUGACCUCACUGCGAUCUGAACCAGGUCUCUAAUUAUUUUCUAUUUUGGCCUCUUCGUCAGGCUACAGAACCGCGGUUGUGGGGGGUUCUCCCACGUGGUCACCACCUUUAAGAAGAUUUUCUCCACAGAUAACUAUGGCUCUAACAUGAUUUUCCCUAAAUUCAUAUCGCAGUGUUUAACAACUCUAGGGUGGAGGGGAAAGGCUGUGGACCAGAUGCCAGGAUCUUCAAUGAAUCAGUAAAGGUGUUGAGGUGUAACCAAAUGAGCCCAAUGCAGGGCUUGAACUCAUGACCCUGAGAUCAAGACCUGAGCUGAGAUCAAGAGUUGGACACUUAACCAACUGAACCACCCAGGCGCCCCCACAAUUCCCGUUUUAAAGACCUAUGACAAUUUCUCAGAGAAAUAAAGCAACUUUCCCAAAGCCAUAAAGCUAAUAAAUCUUGAAAUAUGUUUCACCUGUCUAAGAAAAUAAACUGUAUUUU